ACACACACUAUAAAGUAACAGAAUGUAAUCGCGUCUAACGCAUCUUAAUACAACUUUCAGCAACGGAUCUCUUGGCUCUCGCAUCGAUGAAGAACGCAGCGAAAUGCGAUAAGUAAUGUGAAUUGCAGAAUUCAGUGAAUCAUCGAAUCUUUGAACGCACCUUGCGCUCCUUGGUAUUCCGAGGAGCAUGCCUGUUUGAGUGUCAUGGUAUUCUCAACCCACACAUCCUUGUGAUGCUUGUGAGGCUUGGACUUGGAGGCUUGCUGGCCCGUCGCGGUCGGCUCCUCUUGAAUGCAUUAGCUUGGUUCCUUGCGGAUCGGCUCUCAGUGUGAUAAUUGUCUACGCUGUGACCGUGAAGCGUUUGGCGAGCUUCUAACCGUCCUGCUAGGGACAACUUACUUGACAUCUGACCUCAAAUCAGGUAG
rnacentral:rRNA from 1 species